rnacentral:rRNA from 1 species
UCGAGAAUCUUCCGCAAUGCGCGAAAGCGUGACGGAGCGACGCCGCGUGGGUGAUGAAGGCCUUCGGGUUGUAAAGCCCUGUUGCCUGCUAAGAACGUCGAACGGUGAAUAGCUGUUUCGGCUGACGUCAGCAGGGGAGGAAGCACCGGCUAAUUACGUGCCAGCAGCCGCGGUAAUACGUAAGGUGCGAACGUUGUUCGGAAUCACUGGGCGUAAAGAGCACGUAGGCGGCUUGAUAAGUCCGACUGUG